rnacentral:rRNA from 1 species
GAUGAACGCUGGCGGCGUGCCUAAUACAUGCAAGUCGAGCGAACGGACGAGAAGCUUGCUUCUCUGAUGUUAGCGGCGGACGGGUGAGUAACACGUGGAUAACCUACCUAUAAGACUGGGAUAACUUCGGGAAGCCGGAGCUAAUACCGGAUAAUAUUUUGAACCGAAUGGUUCAAAAGUGAAAGACGGUCUUGCUGUCACUUAUAGAUGGAUCCGCGCUGCAUUAGCUAGUUGGUAAGGUAACGGCUUACCAAGGCAACGAUGCAUAGCCGACCUGAGAGGGUGAUCGGCCACACUGGAACUGAGACACGGUCCAGACUCCUACGGGAGGCAGCAGUAGGGAAUCUUCCGCAAUGGGCGAAAGCCUGACGGAGCAACGCCGCGUGAGUGAUGAAGGUCUUCGGAUCGUAAAACUCUGUUAUUAGGGAAGAACAUAUGUGUAAGUAACUGUGCACAUCUUGACGGUACCUAAUCAGAAAGCCACGGCUAACUACGU